GCCAGGCGUGGUGGUGCACAUCUGUAAUCCCAGCAGCCUGGGAGGCUGAGGCAGGAAGAUCUCGAGUUCAAAGCCAACCUCAGCAUCAGCAAGGUGCUAAGCAACUCAGUGAGAACCUGUCUCUA
rnacentral:sRNA from 1 species